rnacentral:lncRNA from 1 species
CACUGACAGCUGAUCCCUUUGACCCUUUCAUAAUGCUUUGAACCCCAGCAGAAGGUUAGUUCCCUUGAAAACUGCCUUUUUAUGCAUACUCUGUCCCAAACUUCCAAAGCCUCCAGUCCCCCAGCCGAGACCUGGUCUGCAGAGGAGAAGCUUCAAGCAAAUGGGCAGCCAGAUGUAUCAAGCAACUGCUUUGUGCUACUCCCUGUUGUUGAGGGAUGCUCUGAUGAUGGAGAGGUUCUUCUCUGGAGGAAGAGAGAGCAUGGCUGACACGGAAAAAGAUUUGCACCAAGGUUUUCAAGCCCUCAUAUGUGUGAACCUUGUGGCACCUGACUCCUGCUUUUCUGCCAGCUGCUCUGCUGUCUGUCUCAGCCUCCCCUUGGGAAAGGACUCAGGAUGAUUUACUGUUUAGUCUUGUUGGAAACUGAGGAUGUUGGUGGAGACUUCCUCCCUCCCCAGACACGAACACCCAAAGGCACGACGGGUUUUUACUAAGCCUUAAAGAGUGGCUCAAUAUAGGGAAUUCUCUCACAACUCCUGUGUGACUCCAUGAAAUCAGCCCUGCCAACUUUCUGAAGCCUGAAAACAGCUAAAGACAGGAUUCCAAACAGUUAACUUCAAAUAGCUCAUUUUCUCUCAGCUCUCCACAAAUUCCUGUCAUGUUGCAUUACAUGUAAACAACUCAGAAACUUAAUGACAUGCCUUUCAGUCAAAAACUGAUAUGGCUUUUCAGUCUGAGCAGAUUAAUUGCAGUUUGUAACAAUAUGAAGUGUUGCAGUCUGAUUAGAGUUUCUAUUGCUUUUGGGGAUAAAAUAUUUUAUGUGAAUGUAAAGCCAAGUUUUUUGCUGGCAUGACUUUAUUGACUUCUGCAG